rnacentral:rRNA from 1 species
GUUAUUUAUAUUCUUAAUAAAUUUGAUUUAUAUUUAAAGAUUUUUAUUAUUAUUUAAAUUUAUAUUAAAUUUUAUUGGUUUUAGUAUUAUUAUUAUAAAAAUAAUUGUUUAAUUUAUAGUUAAUUAUUGUAAUGUGAAUGAAAGUGAUGAAAUAAAAUUGUAAAAAUUAUUGAAAGUUAAUUUUAUUUAUUGUAUCUUGUGUAUCAGAGUUUAUUAAAAAAAAAUUUUUUAUAAAAAUUUUCUCGAAAAAUAAAGAGAUAAUUAAUUAUUAAAGUUAAUGUGAAAAAAUUAUUUUAAAUGAUUAGUUGGAAAUGAAAUGUUAUUCGUUUUAUUUGAUAUCUAGUUUUUAUAGAUAUAAAUUUAAUUUAUUAAUUUUAUAAUUAAUUUAAUAAUUUAUGAUUAAAUUAGUAUAAGGUUAGUUAUAUUGUUAGGGAUAAGCUUAAUAAUAAUUUUUUAUAUAUAUAAUAUUUAUUUUUUAAAAUUUAUAUUAAUAAAAUUUUAAAUUAAUUUUAAUUUUUAAUAAAAAUUUUUAAUUAAUUAAAAAUUUUUAUUAAAAAUUAAAAUUUUUAUAUAAAUAAUAUUAUUUUAUUAAAUUAAAUAAUGAUAUAAUGAUAAAAUUAGUAUAAAAUAAUUAUUAUUGUAUAAGUUUGAUUAUUGGUUAAUUUUUAUUUAGGAAUUCGGCAAAAUUUUCAUGUUCACAUGUUUAACAAAAACAUCUCUUAAAGAAUAAAAUAAUUUUAAGUCUAAUCUGCCCACUGAAAUUUAUUAAUUUUAAAGGGCUGCAGUAUAUUGACUGUGCUAAGGUAGCAUAAUAAUUAGUCCUGUAAUUUAGGACUGGUAUGAAUGAUUGGAUGAGAUAUGAGCUGUCUUAAUAAAAAAGUUAUUAGAAUUUAAUUUUUAGUAAAAAAGCUAAAAUAGUUUUAAAAGACGAGAAGACCCUAUAAAUCUUGAUAUAUAAUUAAAUAUUUUAUUAAUUUUAGUUAAUAAAAUAUUUGAUAAUAUAUUUUAUUGGGGUGAUAUAAAAAUUAAAUUAACUUUUUAAUUUAAAAUUAAACAUAUAUAAAUGAUUUAUUUGAUCCAUUAUUAGUGAUUAGGAGAUAAAGUUACUUUAGGGAUAACAGCAUAAUAAUAAUUUUAAGUUCUUAUUAAAAUUAUUGAUUGUGACCUCGAUGUUGGAUUAGAAUAAAUAUUUAAUGCAGAAGUUAAAUCAUUGAGUCUGUUCGACUUUUAAAAUUCUACAUGAUCUGAGUUCAAACCGGUGUGAGCCAGGUUGGUUUCUAUCUUUAAAUAUUUUUAAUAGUUUAGUACGAAAGGAUUAAUUAUUAUAAUUUUAAUUAAA